rnacentral:rRNA from 1 species
GAUGAACGCUAGCUACAGGCUUAACACAUGCAAGUCGCGGGACCGGCGCACGGGUGAGUAACGCGUAUCCCCCCUGCCCUUCACCACGGGAUACCCCGGCGAAAGUCGGCCUAAUACCGUAUGGUGCAGGCUGGGGCUGCGUCCGCUUGGCUUGACGGCGGGGUAACGGCCCACCGUGGCUACGAUGGGUAGGGGUUCUGAGAGGAAGGUCCCCCACACUGGAACUGAGACACGGUCCAGACUCCUACGGGAGGCAGCAGUGAGGAAUAUUGGUCAAUGGGCGUAAGCCUGAACCAGCCAAGUAGCGUGCAGGACGACGGCCUAUGGGUUGUAAACUGCUUUUAUGCGGGGAUAGGUACCGCAUGAAUAAGGACCGGCUAAUUCCGUGCCAGCAGCCGCGGUAAUAC